GAUGAACGCUGGCGGCAUGCCUUACACAUGCAAGUCGAACGGCAGCGCGGGGCAACCUGGCGGCGAGUGGCGAACGGGUGAGUAAUAUAUCGGAACGUACCCUAGAGUGGGGGAUAACGUAGCGAAAGUUACGCUAAUACCGCAUACGAUCUAAGGAUGAAAGUGGGGGAUCGCAAGACCUCAUGCUCGUGGAGCGGCCGAUAUCUGAUUAGCUAGUUGGNGGGGUAAAGCCUACCAAGGCAUCGAUCAGUAGCUGGUCUGAGAGGACGACCAGCCACACUGGAACUGAGACACGGUCCAGACUCCUACGGGAGGCAGCA
rnacentral:rRNA from 1 species